AAUUUUUCUUUUGAUGUGUUAUUCAUACUGAAGACAAAACGGGCAAGAUAUAAGAUAAACGGAUCGACAGUUUUCAAUUUUGUCUAUCUAUCUGUGGCCGAGCGUAACGAUGAAGCUACUGAAUUAAUUAUGAACAAUACUUGGCAAGAUUUGAAUCUAUAUUACGAGCUGGGAAACUAACUAUUUUAUCCCGAAUCUCAAAACUGUUUGUUCCUGUUUAAAAGAGAACGAAAAGCGAAAUGUAGCAUCGCGAAUGAACGAAGUUGAAGGAAUGGCACUGUUGGAAGCCAUUAAUCUAAAUGAAUGAAUGAAUGAAUGGAUUCAAAAGUGCUGUCGAACCCUAACUUUAAGAAAGAAAAUUAGGAGUUUACUCCUUAUGAAACUUAAUAUGGCCUGUGGUAUGACAAAGAAAUAUAGGAAAUUAAAUUGUAUGAAACAGCUGAUGCUGACGCUUUCUGACUUUAAGAGAAUGUUUUACUGAACUUUUGGCUGUUGUCAAUUAUCAAUUUAAUAAAACAUUUAAACUUUAAUAUCAUGAUAAUCAUUUUAAAGGAAUAAAGUCCAGUCGCGUGCCGGAGUUAACACACGCAUUUUUUGUUUCAUCCAGGAUAUUUGUUUCCUUUUAUAUAAAUAUAUGUAAACUUCGAAUUUAUACAAUUUAAUUAAAGAAAGUAAUAUCAA